rnacentral:rRNA from 18 species
CGAAAACUCGCCCACAGCUUCGGGUUCGAUCUCGACCUCGAGGCGGUGGAGCGGAA